UCUACUAAAAAUACAAAAUUAUCCAGGCAUGAUGGUGCAUGCCUGUAAUCUGAGCUACUCAGGAGGCUGAGACAGGAGAAUUGCUUGAACCCGGGAGGCAGAGGUUGCAAUGAGCCAAGAUCACUCCAUUGCACUUUAGCCUGGGCAACAAGAGCAAAACUCUGUCUCAAAAAGAAAAAAAAAGAAAAAAAAAAAUUAGCCGGGCAUGGUGGCACGUGUCUGUAGUCCCAGCUACUCGGGAGGCUGAGGCAGGAGAAUCAUUUGAACCCGGGAGGCGGAGGUUGCAUUGAGCCCAGAUCAUGCCACUGCACUGCAGCCUGGGUGACAGAGCGAGACUCCAUCUCAAAAAAAAAAAAAAAAGAAAGAAAAAAAAAGAAACAAACAAGGAAACAUCCUUCAUUAUCAGUAAUUAUAUUAAAUGCAAAUGAAUUAAAUUCUACAAUAAUUCUACAAUGAAAAGGCAGAGAUUUGCAGCAUGGAUUUAAAAAACUACUUGAUCCAAGUAUAUGCUCUUCACAAAAGACACUUUCUUUUUUUUUCUUUUAAGUUCUGGGGUACAUGUGCAGGAUGUGCAGGUUUGUUACGUAGGUAAAUGUGUGCCAUGGUGACUUGCUGCACCUAUCAAUCCAUCACCUAGGUAUUAAGCCCAGCAUGCAUUAGCUAUUUUUCCUGAUGCUCUCCCUCCUCCCCACAACUCCAGACAGGCCCUAGUGUGUGUUGUUCCCCGCCCUAUGUCUAUGUGUUCAUAUUGUUCAGCUCCUGCUUAUAAGUAAGAACAUGCGGUGUUUGGUUUUCUGUUCCUGCAUUAGUUUGCUGAGGAUAAUGCCUUCCAGCUCCAUCCAUGUCCCUGCAAAGGACAUUAUCUCAUUCCUUUUUACGGCUGCAUAGUAUUCCAUGGUGUAUAUGUACCAUGUUUUCUUUAUCCAGUCUAUCAUUAAUGGACAUUUGGAUUGAUUCCAUGUACAAAAGAUACUUUCAAUUCAAAGACAUAAGUAGGUUGAAAGUCAAAGAAUGGAAAAAAAUAUUCCUUGCAAACAGUAACCAAAAGAGACCUGGAGGGCUAUACUAACACUAGGAAAAAAAGACUUUAUGACAAGAAUUGUUAUAAGAGAUAAAAGGGUCACUCCAUUAAGAAGAUAUGACAAUUAGGAACAUAUAUGCACCUGUAAACAGAGCCUCCAAAAUACGUAAAGUUAUGAGAUAAUUGAAAAGAGAAAGAAUUCAACAAUAAUAUUUAUUUGAAGACUUCAAUAUACCCCUUUCAAUAAUGGAUAGAACAACUAAACAGAAGAUCAUCACGGAAACAGAAGACUUGAAAAAAUUAUAAACCUACUAGACCUAAUAGACAUUUAUAGGACACUCGACUCAACAACAGCAGAAUGCCCAUUCUUCUCAAUUAUACAUGGAGCAUUCUCCAGGAUAGACCAUAUGUUAUGACAUAAGUCUUUAUAAAUUCACGUCAUACAAAGUAUCUUCUCCAACCCAAUGGAAUAAAACUAGAAAUUAAUAAUAGAAGAAAAACAGGAAAAUUCACAAUAUGUGGAAAUUAAACAACACACCUAAACAAUCAAUGGAUCAAAGAAGAAAUCACAAAGGAAAUUAGAGAAUAUUUGGAGAUGUAUGAAAGCAAAAACACACAAUACCAAAACCAUGGGAAGCAGUAUUUAGAGAAACAUUUAUAGUUGUAAAAUUCUGCAUUUGAAAAGAAUAAAUAUCUCAAAUCAAUAACCUAGCUUUAUACGUUAAGGAACUAGAAAAAGAAGAGCAGGCAGGGCAUGGUGGCUCACACCUGUAAUCCUAGCACUUUAGGAGGCUGAGGCAGGCGGAUCACAAGGAGGCAGAGGUUGCAGUGAGCCGAGAUGGCGCCACUGCACUCCAGCCUAGGCGACAGAGCGAGACUCUGUCUCAAAUAAAUAAAUAAAUAAAUAAAUAAAUAAAUAAAGGAAAAGAAGAGCAAACUGAAACCCAAAACAAGCAAAAGAAGUAAAUAAUAAAGAUUAGACUAGUGAUAACAAAGUAGACAAUAGAAAAACGAGAAAAGAAGUGAAACCAAAAAUUGGCUCUUUGAAAAAAAAAAAUCAACAAAAUUGACAAACCUUUAGCUAGUCUGACCAAGAAAACGGUGAGAAGAUUCAAAUAACUAAAAUUAGGAAUGGAAGCAGGGACAUUGCUACCAACCUCACAGGAAAAAAAUGUAUAAGACUAUAAUAAUUGUAUGCUACUAGGAUUUGGAUGUGGUUUGUUCUUACCAAAACUUGUGUUGAAAUUUCCUUCCCAAUAUGGCAGUGUUGAGGGGUGAAGUCUAGUGAAAAUGUUUGAGUCUGGGGGUGGGUCCCUCAUUGACAGAUUAGUGCCAUCUUGUGGCAGUAAGUUCUCACUCUCAUGGGACAUUGUGAGUCCUGAUUUCAGCAGCAGCUGUUCCAGAUGUACUGUCCUUAUUAACAUGCAGCCAUUAUUCUGCAUGUUUCUGUGUGGAUAUUUUUAGAUAAGAUUAGCAUUUAAAUUGGUGGACUUUCAGUAAAGCAAAUUGCCUUCUGUAAUGUGGGUGGGCCUCAUCUAAUCAGUCGAAGGACUGAAUAAAUCAGCCUAACCUCUCCAGAGCAAAAAGGAAUUCUGUGGCAGACAGUCUUCAGACUUGAACUGCAAUCUUGGCUCUUCCUUAGAUCUCCAGCCUGCCAGUCAACCCUGCAGAUUUUGGAGUAGCCAACUUCCACAACUGCAUGAGCCAGUUCCUUAAAAUAAGUCUCUUUAUGUGUGCACUACAUAUACACAUCCUGUUGUUCCUCUUUCUCUGGAGAACUCUGACUAACACCAUCUUCUACAGACAGGACCGACAAGCUGUCAGGUUUAUGAAGAAUUAAUAUUUGGGAAGCCCUCGUGUAUAAAGACUUCAGACCAUUUGAGGUGUUGGCUGAAAGCAAAAUAAACGUGAUAAUAAAAAGAAGUCUUAAAUAUCAGCUUUGGCCUCAUGAACAGCUGCAGAAAUCCAGACUGUAUCCUCUCCUUCCUGCUGUGUCAUGUAUAUAUUUAUGAGUUAAUUAAUUUUUGUUUGAUUCCUCUCUCUUCUCUCUCACUAUUAUAUAUACGGUUUGUUUACAGUUAACUGUAGUUUAGUUCAUAGGUUUCAGAAUAACGCAACUACAGUGCAGGUGGAACUUGAGAAUGAAUGAACAUCCAGGAUUGAGGAUGGAUGCGGUCAGUAACUAUUGUCACCCAUUGGUGAGGGAGUGAGCAUAUUUUUUGUUUGAAAUAAGGAGAAUGGCAUUGUCUCAAACAGAACAAGUUUGUUACUGUUGUUAUGGGUGGAAAUGAAUGUCAGGAAAGAAUAUUAUGUGUGUAAAUCUAGAGAGUCAGACAAAUAGAUUUCAAAGGGUGUUUGUCAUUCCUUUGUAUUCUGGCAGACUCCCCAAGGUGUGUAUCAGUGGAUGCAGUGCUGGGUCUUCCCCUAACAAAGCUGAAAUGCAAGUAAAUCCUCCCUCUCCCUGCUCCUUGGUGGUCUGAACUCAGGAUCUGGACCUGUCCUUACCCUACGGGAUGCUCGCACGUGGAUCUUUGACUCAUCCACAGCAAAGGCCUGUGUGCUUUCUGUGGCUAAUCCAGUGUUCUACCUCCUAAGACACAACAAAAAGAAGUUUGGUGUUGGCCCAUUGUACCGGGAGCAAAGAAGGAGGUGAAAAUGUUUUUCUAGGAUGUUCUCUAUAAAAACCUUCCUGAUGCAAAGCACCUCUUUUUAGAGAUUUGGGAUAGGCUAUUUAACCCCUAGCAUCCUGGAUUCUUCCAUGGACAAAGACUGUGUCCUGUGGUUCUGUUGCUGUGGGUACCUACUCCAGGCCUUACCCCCUGGAUGGUAAAAAGCUGUCAGGUGUUAAUAGAAGGAUUAGCACAUAAUAAAGUGCCCCCCACCCAAGUAAUAUUGGAAGAAUUUAAAGAGGAUGGUAAUAAUAAGAGCACCUUGGAAGAAAAAAUCAAACAAGCAUCUGCCAUUGCAUUCUAUGCUGAAAUUAGGUCAAAUUUUGUUUUUAACACAAACCUUUAUGCUUGUUUAGGAAUAAAAGACACAGUGCCAAUAGGCACUAACCUACUUUAGGAAUUUUACCUGCUCACCAGAAUGUCUAAAACAUAUUGUCCCACAAGUAAAGAUUUUGCCCUAUUGUUUCAAACACCAUUCAUUCCCAUGGUACAAAACAGUGCAAAGUAUAGGACGUGUUUGGUGGAGAUACAGAAUCCUUGAAUGAGUUUAGAUGGUGGUGGUGAUGAUGAUAAUGAUGAUGGAUGUAUUAAAAAGUCUAGCCGGGUGCGGUGGCUCACACCUGUAAUCCCAGCACUUUGGGAGGCCAAAGCGGGCAGAUCACCUGAGGUCAUCAGUUCCAGACCAGCCUGGCCAACAUGGCAAAACCCCCUCUCUACUAAAAAUACAAAAAUUAGCCGGGUGUGGUGGCACGUGCCUGUAAUCCCAGCUACUUGGGAGGCUGAGGCAGGAUAAUUGCUUUUUUUUCUUUGAAACAGGGUCUUGCUCUGUUGCCCAGGCUGGAGUGCAGUGGUGCAAACACAGCUCACUGCAGUCUUCACCUCCUGGGCUCCAGCAAUCCUCCCACCUCAGCCUCCCAAGUAGCUGGAAUUAUAGGUGCACACCACCACACCUGGCAAUUUUUUUUUUUCAUUUUUUGUAUAAAUGAGGUCUUGCCAUGUUACCCUGGCUAAGGUUCUUAUAUAGUAAGUGGCUUAGAUUGUAGAUAAUAGAUUUAGAACCAAAACAUCGAUCUCUUGUCCCUCCAGUCAGUGCUUCUUGUACUGGAAUGGAUCUCUAGACUUGGUGUAUGCACUCUCAAUAGUGUGUAUCGAAGGAGAGGAGAGGGCAGAGCAGGGGUAGUAGGGUGGGCUGGCCAUUUUCUUGUGAGUUGAGAGGCUUAGACUCUGUUGGCACUAAGUGUCUUCUGAUUUUAAAGAAGUCUCCUUACCUCCCGCUGCCUCAGUUCCUUUCUGUAAACCAGAGGAGAAGGGAAAUUGUAGGAUUCUCUCCUAAUAUGAUCUCGUGUUCUAGGAAAGUCGUAUGAAGGCGGAAGUGAAAGUAGAUAAUCUAUUUUAUUUCGUAUGAUUUUACCAACACAUCUGUUGAAUUUUUUUUUAAAACGUCAUCAUUCUGGUUCACAUUUGCUUUUUUAAGACACAUAUUUGAGAAUUCAGCCACUGGGCUUAUUUAUACUCAUUAUUAUUCUAGGAUAAUCUUUGGGGUUUGAAAUCACUUAUAAUCCCAUAACACAAAACUGUGGCGAACAUGUCCUCUGACCUACAUGAAUUAUUUUCUGUGAAAAUGAAAGUCGUGGACAGCCCUAAUUAAAUCCCUGCUGAGCAGAUGCCAGUGCUUAGGACAGCUCUCCACGUGAUCCAUAGAAACAAAUCAAGGUUUGCAGUUGGAGAACCACUAAAAGCAAGCCAGUGACUGUUCCUAUGGCUUGUAAACACAAAAGAAAAUAUUAAAAAGUACACAUGAGAUACAAAGAAUACUAUUACAAGCAGGCCCAAGUCAGCCACUCAGCUUAGGCCUUAGAGCUGUGUCAGUAUCGCUGAAGACUCUAAGGACUGGGCCUUCCCGACGCCAUUCCUUCUCCUUCCUCCCAGAGCCACCAUCGUCUAAUGUUGUGUUCAUAAUUGACUUAAUUUCCUUCCUCAUUUUCCUAUAUAACCAUGUAUCCUUAAAGUAUAUGUUGCUAAAUCUUGCAUAUAUUUGAAGUUUCUAUUUAAGAUAAGUGGCAUUAUAUUGUAGAUAACCCAGUCUUUGGUUCAAGUUUAUGUUUGGGAAGUCAUCCACGGGUGUUGACAUUUUCAGCUGAAUGUCAUUCAUUUUCACUAUCCUAUAGAAUUCCAUUGCAUGAAUAUCCCAUGAUGUAUUUACUCAUAGGGUUUUUUUUUCUUUUAAUUACACAAUUAUAUUAUCUUAAUAUUAUACAUACAUAACAAUUAUCAUACCCUAUUACCCAAAAGUUGUAAACAUUCUGUGAAUAUAGGCUCCAAUACGUAGAAGAUUGAGCUGUGAACUCAUUAAUUUUCUACAUAGUUUCUUUGGAAACCAAAGAUUUGAAAGCCAGAGUUAUUGCUGAUCUCCUCUUUCUGCUUCAUUAGGCCUGCCUUUCCCGGUAACCUGUUCCUCAAAUAAUAUUUCUCCCAAUUGUGACACCAACUAGAUGUCAAAGCCUCAGUGAUAUCCGUUGAUGUCAAAACAUCAAUUUAUGUCAAAUAUAAUUUAACCUAAAGCUAAGUUUCCUUUAUUAGAAUGAUAAUGUCAUUUAUCAUAUGUCUUUUCUUUCACUUUCCCUGAUUUUAGUUAUUAAAACAACACCCCACUUCAAUGUGCUCAUUUGUAAAAUAGCAAUGCCGUUACUAACUUGUGUCUGUUACAGAGAGUAUCCUACGAAGAUGGUCUCAAAGUACUUUGAGAUGAACAGAAUGUUCUAUAAAUGGGUAUUGAAAAUAAUCAAGACAUUCAUGGAUCCAAACAGGCCACAGAAAUACCAUAGCAACAAAUGAACAAUAAUUGCUGCAUUAUGGGCUCUUUCCCCAGCUGCACUCAUGCAAUCAAAGCUCUGCUGCGUCUUCAGAGGAGCCCAGGUCAGGUCUGGCUGCCAUCACCCAUGAGGAAGACGUGCGGAGCCAGACAGGUGCCUGGAGGAAAGGUGGGUGUGUGCUGUCCUGCCCCAUCCUCUCUGUUUCCCUCCCACGUGUUUGCAGAGACGUCCUCAGCAUGGAACCAGGGCCCUUGACAGAGACAUUGUCAUUCUGGACACCCCACACCCAAGCCAGUUCAUCCAAGUCACCCGAUAAAAUUGUGCUCUGAAGAAACUGCCUGUUGCAGCAAACUCCUUACCUUACUGGAUGCAUAGCGAUGGCCAGCACAGGACGAGGCCAUGGGAGGAUCUUAAUGACACAGUCCACUCUGCAAACCAAGGUCAACAAGGCAGCAGGCUGGAGUGCAAUGGCAUGAUCAUGGCUCACUGCAGCCACAACCUCCUGGGCUCAAGCAAUCCUGCCUCAGCCUCUCAGGUAGCUAGGACUACAGGGACACGGAUGAAGCUGGAAACCAUCAUUCUCAGCAAACUAUCGAAAGGACAAAAAACCAAACACUGCAUGUUCUCACUCAUAGGUGGGAAUUGAACAAUGAGAACACUUGGACACAGGAAGCGGAACAUCACACACCGGGGCCU